GACCGCUUUGUUGGUCUAGUGGUUAGAGCGUCCGCCUUAGAUGCAGGAGGUCGCGGGUUCGAACCCCGUCCGAGUCA